rnacentral:rRNA from 1 species
AUUAAACGCUGGCGGAAUGCUUUACACAUGCAAGUCGAACGGCAGCACGGGGCAACCUGGUGGCGAGUGGCGAACGGGUGAGUAAUACAUCGGAACGUGCCCAAUCGUGGGGGAUAACGUAGCGAAAGUUACGCUAAUACCGCAUACGAUCUACGGAUGAAAGCGGGGGAUCGCAAGACCUCGCGCGAAUGGAGCGGCCGAUGUCAGAUUAGGUAGUUGGUGGGGUAAAGGCUCACCAAGCCAACGAUCUGUAGCUGGUCUGAGAGGACGACCAGCCACACUGGAACUGAGAUACGGUCCAGACUCCUACGGGAGGCAGCAGUGGGGAAUUUUGGACAAUGGGCGCAAGCCUGAUCCAGCAAUGCCGCGUGCAGGAUGAAGGCC